rnacentral:rRNA from 1 species
GACGUAGGGGGCAAGCGUUGUUCGGAAUUAUUGGGCGUAAAGCGCUCGUAGGCGGGAUUGGAAGUCCGUGUUGAAAGACCUCGGCUCAACUGAGGGACCGGCUCGGAUACUCUAAUUCUUGAGGCAAUCAGAGGAUGAUGGAAUUCCCGGUGUAGCGGUGAAAUGCGUAGAGAUGUGGAGGAAUACCGAUGGCGAAGGCAGCCCCCUGGGCCAAUACUGACGCUCAUGCACGAAAGCGUGGGGAGCAAACAGG